UUCGCAAUGCCCGAAAGGGUGACGAUGCGACGCCGCGUGAGCGAAGAAGGCCCUAGGGUUGUAAAGCUCUGUCGAGGGUUAUGAAAUAUAGAUGGGUUAAUACCCCAUUUAUUUGACAAAAGCCCAAAAGGAAGCCACGGCUAACUCUGUGCCAGCAGCCGCGGUAAUACAGAGGUGGCGAGCGUUGUUCGGUAUUAUUGGGCGUAAAGAGCACGUAGGUGGUUUUGUAAGUCAGGUGUGAAAGCCUUCUGUUCAAAGGAAGAACGGCAUCUGAAACUGCAGAUCUUGAGUGUAGGAGGGGAGAGUGGAACUUCUGGUGGAGCGGUGAAAUGCGUAGAUAUCAGAAGGAACGUCGGCGGCGGAAGCGGCUCUCUGGCCUAUUACUGACACUGAGGUGCGAAAGUUAGGGGAGCAAACGGGAUUAGAUACCCCGGUAGUCCUAACCGUAAACGAUGGGCACUAAGUAGAGGGGUUUU
rnacentral:rRNA from 1 species